rnacentral:rRNA from 1 species
UACGUAGGGGGCAAGCGUUGUCCGGAAUCAUUGGGCGUAAAGCGCACGUAGGCGGUUCGUUAUGUCGGAUGUGAAAGCCCUUGGCUUAACCGAGGAAGUGCAUCCGAAACUGGCGAGCUAGAGUACGAAAGAGGAUCGCGGAAUUCCCGGUGUAGAGGUGAAAUUCGUAGAUAUCGGGAGGAACACCGGUGGCGAAGGCGGCGAUCUGGGUCGAUACUGACGCUGAGGCGCGAAGGCGUGGGGAGCGAACGGG